ensembl:lncRNA
CCUGACUGCAGGGUGCAGUUCUCGGCCGGGCUCAAUGUGGGCGGAGUCAAACGGUUUAACCCAAAACCUUCCCAUCUCCUUCGAGGUCACGCAAGUUGAGGUAAAGUCAAUGGUGUCAACGAAAGCGAAUCUCAAUCGAACCUAACCUACAUGGAUAGCACUAUAAACCAUGGAAGAAGCAGAUGUUCUUCUAAGGGACACCCUAGAGGCAGCAAGGUGAUGUGAACUCCAAACAUUUAAAGGCACUGUUCCCCUCCCUAGUGUAAUUGGGAUGGAAGGGGAAGACCGCAUUACAACCCUUAAAGAACUACAGUUGUAUGAUGGCCUGGAUGAAGAGAAAAAUGUUCUCCUCAAGGAACCAUUCAUGUUACAGAGAGAUUAUAAUUUGUUCUAUUUGGAGGCAGUUGACAACAAGAAAAUUACUGUCUUUGUCUUUUGAGGAGCAAAGCCAUUUUUGAGGAGUGGUCAAACUUUGUCUGCUGUGUUAAUUGUUUCAAUUGUUAAUUGUGUUAUGUUUAGUAAAGAUGACGUAGAAGUCACCCGAGUCUCUGAUCUCUUCACUGGAGCUGGUAUAACUUAAUGUACAAAGCACAUUCAGCUUGUCAGUAUGUCUAUAUGGUAUAGUCUGUCUCCAUUCUCAUGAGGAAAGUAAAUAACAUUAUAAAUCAGGAUGGGUAGUAACUGUGUGUAUAUGCUCAAUUAAAUAAUAUAAUUACAAAGUUAUAACAUUUAUCAACACAAUUUUAACAGUAAAUAACAAGUCUGCUGUUCACUGCAACUAUCAGUAGUUUGUCUCAAAUAUAGCAUGAAGCAAAAAGUGUUACAUCUGCUGGUACUUGUAAGAAAUAUUAUAUAAAUCUUCAAAAAUGAAAUAUGUUUGUAUUCAACUUGUGCCUUGCGCAAAUGUGUGUUACUGUCAAACAUCAGAUGGACAAAAAAAUGUGGGCAGGGUCAAAUGUGAGCAGAGUCAAACGUUUGACUCCACCCACAUUGAACCCAGCCCCGAAUUGCACACUGCAGUCAGGGGUACUUGGACUUGCUUGCUGGUUGAGAUUUCUGCUCUUCACUCCAUUGUCAGUUUAGCCUACAUUUCACUGAUCAUAGGAGCAGAAAUGGUUUUUUAUUUGUGUCCUUCAAGGCAGCUGUCAAUGAUCACGUUAGGCUGUGUUUCAUUUGAUUUGUUAUGGCGGUUUGAUCGCAGAGGAGACACUAGUAAUGUCUGCAGUUUUCGGUUUGUCAUUUUGUUUCAAAUGUAUUAGUCUAAUAAUAAAUCUCUUCGCCAAA